rnacentral:rRNA from 1 species
UACGAAGGGGGCGAGCGUUGUUCGGAUUUACUGGGCGUAAAGGGCGCGUAGGCGGCCCUCCUAGUCGCGUGUGAAAGCCCCGGGCUCAACCUGGGGAAUUGCGCGCGAAACGGGGGGGGCUUGAGUUCGGGAGAGGAGCGUGGAAUUCCCAGUGUAGAGGUGAAAUUCGUAGAUAUUGGGAAGAACACCGGUGGCGAAGGCGGCGAGCUGGCCUGUUACUGAGCUGAGGCGCGCAGC